rnacentral:rRNA from 1 species
UGUCUUUUUGAAGUUAAUUUAAAGUCUAAUCUGCCCACUGAUUUAAUAUUAAAGGGCUGCAGUAUUUUGACUGUACAAAGGUAGCAUAAUCAUUAGUCAUUUAAUUGAUGACUUGUAUGAAAGAUUGGAUGAAGUAUAAUCUGUCUCUUAAUUAAUAAGUAGAAUUUAAUUUUUUGAUUAAAAAGUUAAAAUAGUUUAAAAAGACGAGAAGACCCUAUAGAGUUUUAUAAAUAAAGUUAAUUAAUAUUAUUUAUAAAAAUUAAAUUAAAAUUUUUUUAUUUAUUAUAUUGGGGUGAUAGAAAAAUAUAUUUAACUUUUUUUUUUAUUUAAAACAUUUAUAAGUGAUUAAAUGAUCCAAUAUUAUUGAUUGUAAGAAAAAAUUCCCUUAGGGAUAACAGCGUAAUUUUUUUUUUUAGUUCGUAUAAGAAAGAGAGUUUGCGACCUCGAUGUUGGAUUAAGAUAAAAUUUAAAUGUAGAAG